rnacentral:rRNA from 1 species
AUUGAACGCUGGCGGUAUGCUUAACACAUGCAAGUCGAACGGUAGCAGCUCUUCGGAGGCUGACGAGUGGCGGACGGGUGAGUAACGCGUAGGAAUCUGCCUAUUAGUGGGGGACAACGUGUGGAAACGCACGCUAAUACCGCAUACGCCCUACGGGGGAAAGCGGGGGAUCUUCGGACCUCGCGCUAUGAGAUGAGCCUGCGUUAGAUUAGCUAGUUGGUAGGGUAAAGGCCUACCAAGGCGACGAUCUAUAGCUGGUCUGAGAGGACGAUCAGCCACACUGGGACUGAGACACGGCCCAGACUCCUACGGGUGGCUG